UAUGAAUUGAAUAGUUCAGAAGACAGUACUUAGCAAUAUGAUGUAGAAUCUAGAUGUAGAUGUAUAUAAAUGGCCAUGCGCACAGUAUACCCUUACAUUUAAGUCUGAUAACAUGUGAAACACUUAAGUCUGCUUCACUUCACCAUUAUAGGACUAAAAAAAAACCCAAGCCUUUAUGUUUGAGAAAAAACAAAAGAAUGGAUAGUAACACAAGAGAGUAUUUACAAAAACAACUACUUAAGUUACUAAACUAUAAAACACUUCUUAAUUACAUUCAGAAAUUGAGAUGUACUGUAGAUAUGUUUGCAUUAAAAAUGUGCAAGGAUAAAGGCUUGAAAUAAAAACAAAAUUAAUUGCCCUUCUAGGAACUAAAUUUAAAGAACCAUUUAAUAGUAAUAUGCAAUACUGUUAGCUACAAAUACUCUCUAAAAAUUAACUCAUCAGUACACUUUUCUAUUAUCAGGUUUAGAAACUUAAUUAAAUUUAAAAAAAUGGCUUAACACACUUUUCUAACAAAAUUGCCUAAGCGUCCACUAUUUUUAGAAUACAACUUUUAAUCAAUGGACAAAAUACACAUUUAAAAAAAAAUAAAUCUAUAACAAGUUAGAAUAAAACUAUGUUAUACUAUUCAUUUAAGAUACAUACUUUGAUUUUUAGCACUCAAAUAAUUUAAAUAAUUAGUUUCAUGUGUAUUUUAGGCCUACUAUGCCAGAUCAAAGGCACUAUUUAGUUGAACUUAUUUGGAAAGUAAGAAAGUAUUAGGAUAAAUGAGAGGACACAAUGAGUUUGUUGAAAACAUAUUAAUUGUUUUGUUUUUUUAAUUAACAUUUUUUAAUUUCAUUUAGUAAAUUUUGAAAUUCAACUUUACCAAAACCAAUAAAACUAAAGACAAACCCGUAGUUAAAUAAUAAUAGUUCAAUAUUAAUUGAUUAUACCCAGAUACACCUCAAAUAACCAAAGACAACGAUGUAUCUUUGUUAAUGCCUUAGCUAUUUUUCAAACUUUAAUUCAGACUUAAACAAAUCAGUUCUAAAAUAAUCCAGCGUACAAUCACACUUGCUGUGAUCACAAUUUUUCUCUUUUAAAAGUAAUCUUUCUCUUCCUGCUUAUUUUUAACUUAUCUUCAAAACAAAUUUAAUUAAACUUUUAAGUAAACAGAACAUUUUUUAAAAAUCUUCCUUACAUCAAAACUUUGUAUCCAUGAUCUAUAACAUACAUUUAUACAGCACACUUAAAAAUGAAUUGUUCACAAAAAAUAUAAAUAAAUAAAACAUGGCCUCUAUUAUUAAAUUCAUUAAACAGCUCAGCCAGUUGUUCCCACAAUUCAACCUAGCUGAGUGUAUUUAUUUGUUUAACAAAAUGAUGUUAUGAUAACAAAUUCAACUAAGGUGCCAGAAUGAGAAAAAAUCUCUAAGAACUACGCAACUACCAUACAAUCAUGUGACUUAUGUUUUAUGAGGAAGAGAAGACAACUUUUGUAAGUUGUUUAUCAUUUAAGUCCCUUUGAAGCUAGAAAUAAAAUCUCUAAUGAAAGCCAAUUUACAAAUGCAAUGCUUGAAAAUUAGUCACAAAUUUUUAAAUAAAAAGAGAAAUAAAAAGAGAAACAAAAAGUCAUAUGAUCAUGAAAUCAAUCAUUUAUGAAGACUUACUUAUCACCUAAGAAAGAGU